rnacentral:rRNA from 1 species
CGGGUACGUUAAUAGCGUAUUCGUUUGACGUUAGCGACAGAAGAAAGCACCGGCUAACUCCGUGCCAGCAGCCGCGGUAAUACGGAGGGUGCGAGCGUUAAUCGGAAUUACUGGGCGUAAAGCGCAUGCAGGUGGUUUGUUAAGUCAGAUGUGAAAGCCCGGGGCUCAACCUCGGAAUAGCAUUUGAAACUGGCAGACUAGAGUACUGUAGAGGGGGGUAGGAAUUUCAGGUGUAGCGGUGAAAAUGCGUAGAGAUCUGAAGGAAUACCGGUGGCGAAGGCGGCCCCCUGGACAGAUACUGACACUCAGAUGCGAAAGCGUGGGGAGCAAACAGGAUUAGAUACCCUGGUAG